rnacentral:rRNA from 1 species
AACUGUAACGCUGGCGGUCGAUAGCCUAAUACAAUGCAAGUCGAACGGACUUGAGGAGAGCUUGCUUUCCGCAAGUCAGUGGCGAACGGGUGAGUAACACGUAGGCGAACCUGCCCACUGUACCCGGGAUAACAGACGGAAACGACUGCUAAACCGGAUAGGUAAGAGGGAGGCAUCUUCCGCUUAUCAAAGCACCCAAGGGUGUGGACAUGGAUGGGCCUGCGGCGCAUUAGCCGGUUGGCGGGGUAACGGCCCACCAAAGCAAUGAUGCGUAGCCGACCUGAGAGGGCGAACGGCCACAUUGGGACUGAGACACGGCCCAAACUCCUACGGGAGGCAGCAGUAGGGAAUUUUCGUCAAUGGAGGGAACUCUGAACGAGCAAUGCCGCGUGAGUGAAGAAGGUCUUCGGAUCGUAAAGCUCUGUUGCAAGAGAAAAACGACAAGCACAGGGAAUGGUGAUUGAGUGAUGGUAUCUUGCGAGGAAGCCACGGCUACCUACGUG